CAGUAGCCGCGGGAAUACGUAGGGUGCAAGCGUUAAUCGGAAUUACUGGGCGUAAAGCGUGCGCAGGCGGUUAUAUAAGACAGAUGUGAAAUCCCCAGGCUCAACCUGGGAACUGCAUUUGUGACUGUAUAGCUAGAGUACGGCAGAGGGGGAUGGAAUUCCGCGUGUAGCAGUGAAAUGCGUAGAUAUGCGGAGGAACACCGAUGGCGAAGGCAAUCCCCUGGGCCUGUACUGACGCUCAUGCACGAAAGCGUGGGGAGCAAACAGGAUUAGAUACCCCCGUAGUCCCUGUCUCUUAUAC
rnacentral:rRNA from 1 species